rnacentral:rRNA from 1 species
CAAUAGCGUAUAUUUAAGUUGUUGCAGUUAAAAAGCUCGUAGUUGGAUUUCGGGUGGGACGCAGCGGUCUCGCAUUGCGUUUGUACUGCUGCAGCCCUCCUUCUUGCCGGGGGCGGCCUCUCGGACUUCACUGUCUGGGGGUCAGAAUCGGCGAUGUUACUUUGAGUAAAUUAGAGUGUUCAAAGCAAGCUUACGCUCUGAAUAUAAUAGCAUGGGAUAACAUGACAGGACUCUGGCCUAUCGUGUUGGUCUAUAGGACCAGAGUAAUGAUUAAGAGGGACAGUCGGGGGCAUUCGUAUUCCGUUGUCAGAGGUGAAAUUCUUGGAUUUACGGAAGACGAACAUCUGCGAAAGCAUUUGCCAAGGAUGUUUUCAUUGA